rnacentral:rRNA from 1 species
UACGUAGGUGGCUAGCGUUGUCCGGAUUUACUGGGCGUAAAGAGCGCGCAGGCGGUCGUUCAAGUCGAGUGUGAAAGCCCCCGGCUCAACUGGGGAGGGUCACUCGAUACUGUUCGACUUGAGGGCGGGAGAGGGAAGCGGAAUUCCCGGUGUAGUGGUGAAAUGCGUAGAUAUCGGGAGGAACACCAGUGGCGAAGGCGGCUUUCUGGCCCGUUCUUGACGCUGAGGCGCGAAAGCUAGGGUAGCAAACGGG